rnacentral:rRNA from 1 species
AUUGAACGCUGGCGGCAGGCUUAACACAUGCAAGUCGAGCGGAGCGGCGGACGGGUGAGUAAUGCCUAGGACUCUGCCUGGUACUGGGGGAUAACGUUCGGAAACGGGCGCUAAUACCGCAUACUACCAGAUGAGCCUAGGUCGGAGUCGCUAGGUGGUGGGGUAAAGGCCAACCAAGGCGACGCUCCGUAACUGGUCUGAGAGGAUGAUCAGUCACACGAGGACUGGGACACGGCCCACACUCCGACGGGAGGCAGCAGUGGGGAAUAUUGCACAAUGGGCGCAAGCCUGAUGCAGCCAUGCCGCGUGUAUGAAGAAGGCCUUAGGGUUGUAAAGUACUUUCAGCGGGGAGGCGUUACCCGCAGAAGAAGCACCGGCUAACUCCGUGCCAGCCGCCGCGGUAAUAC